rnacentral:tRNA from 1 species
UUAAUUGAAACCAAAAUUCGAGGUAUAUCAUUGUUAAUGAUAAUAUUGAUUCUACAUAAAUCCAAUUAAA